UUCUCUCUCACCUCUUUCUCAGCAGAAUUCCUCACCUCUCUUUCUCUGUUUUUUUUGUCUGUAAGUUUUCAUGGAGAUCGAGUCUACUCAUUGACUUCCUCUCUCAUCUCCUUCGUUAUUUGUUCUCAAUCUGCCUCCAUCGUCUUCUUCUACAAAGUUUCCAGAUCCAGAAGGUGGAGAACAAGUCAAUACCCUCAAUAAAUAAUCAAUUUCAAUGGUAGUCUGUGCUUUCAAUUGUAAAAUAUUUCCCGCUUUCAACUGGGUAAUUAUCUAAGGUGCGGAUUACUUUAACUUGUUCCUAUUGUGAUUCCUGAUGAUGAUGGUGUGGUGGUUGUGAUGAAGCAGAAGAUGGUCAGUUUUCUAAGAAGAUUUUUCGUUACACUGUUGUCUGUUUUGUGAGGUCAGGUAAUUACUUUUUUUAAUGGAAUGAUUUACUAGAAGAUUGCUAGUUACACUGCUUGUUUGUGUUGUUAUUUUUUGUUUCUUUAAUUUGGCUUUCAGGGAUUUUCUGAUAUCAUGAGUUGAUGUUUCUGUUUGGGUGGUGGUUGGGAAGGAAUUUCAUUGUUUCAGUUCAGGUGGUGAUUUUUAAGUAUUUUAUGAAAUGGGUAUCAUUGGUGGGUUGAGUUCAACUUUGAUUCCAUUAUAUUUAUUGAAAUUUCUAGUUUGUUUGCAUAUUCUAGAUUGGAUUCUAAUGGAUUAUAUACUCUUUUUAAGAAUUUUUUUUUUAUUAUUUUGUAAUCUUUGGUUUGGCAAGAAUCUAAAGUAAGUAUGGGGUUUUCUGAUAUUUGUUUGAAUUACAACCAAAUAGGAACUUUUUUAUUUUGAUGCCAAUUUGUUGAUAUUGAAUGUCUUAGACACAUGUAGCUCAAGAGCUUAAAUUCAUAUCUCAAAUCUGAAUUCAAUCAUACAAAUUGCUUACUGGAAUUUAAUCUGUUGACCAUCACCUACUCCAAAAGUUACUACAAGAUAGCAGGGCUUGGAUGUCCUUCGAAGGAACAGGGAAACGACAUCCAUCUUCCUUGAGAUUCUCAUAAAAUUGUAACUUCGAUUAUGUUAUUUGGAUCUGUAGUAAUUCUAUGAGAGUAAUAUCAUGAAGUUGUUUGGAGGCACUGAAAUACGCUUGUCCCGUAGUCUGUUGCAAGAUUUCUGGCUACAUCGUAACUUUUUCCGAUUUUUGGAUUCUUGAAUUCAUUAUUGUAAGAGUGCUAACCUUUCUUUAAACAAAUUAGGCAACAACUGUAUAAAAGGUUUCAUCCGUUGCUUCGCGAAGUGGUGUACCUGUGAUUGCUGAUUCUGGUAUUUCAAAAUCUGGGUACAUUAUCAAAGAUUUGAUGCUUGGUGCAUCUACAAUUAUGAUGGGAAGUUUCUUGGCUGGGAGCAGUGAGGCUCCUGGUGCCUACGAAUUUCAGGUAUACAUGCACUAAUAUGAAAAAAUGUCUUACAUUGAAGUCCUCUCAACGAAUAUAAGAGUCUGAUGGUUGUUUUACUCUCACCUUUGUGUUGAAAUUGAAUAUUAUUCUUUAUUUUCUUCUUAAAAUGGCACAUUUUUUGUGUUUCCUGUAUCACUCUUUGUAUAAGAUUUGAAGUUCAUUUGUUCAAUUGCGGUAAUUGGUUUCAUUUACUUUGUGACUGCGUUUUUGUUUGAAGGCUUUAUUUAUUAUGAUUCUGGGAAGUUUCCCUUUCAUAGCUAAGCUAUCUGGACCCAACUUUUCCUUGUGAAUAAAUAUUGCAUCUCUUCUGAAGAGUUUUUUUAAUCGGUAAGUCCAAGCUCAAAGAUGAAUGGUUUCUUUACUCUAGUUUCAAGACUGCUAACUUUGGGUCCUAAAUGACUACACACACUUCUAUUUUCACUAGGUUUGUCAUCCUACCAAACACCACAUUAGUAAGUCUCUCGCUCACCCUUGGUUUCAUAUUGUCUCGGCUUUUAACUGUUACAUUAGAUGGUUUUAUAACUUCGAUAUUUUGAUAAUAGUCUUAGCGCCACAGAGGAGCUGCAAAUGGAAUUUCAUCAACUGCAAUGUGUCUACCCAAAUUGAGUUAUUUCUUUCUACAUAAAUUUGUUAUUGAGGGUCAGUGGUCUGUAGCAUAAUGGAUCUUGCUGUUAAUUGAUAUUUACUACUCUCUAAGUGGAAACAUAGACUAUUAAUUAAAGUUUCUCUUGCUGACAGAUCAUGGGUGCUGUUCAGCUCCUUAAAAUUUUGGAGAAGAUUGGAAAUGCGGAACUUGAAGUUUGAACUUCUAAGUUGAUUUGAUUUUUGAGUUCCCCAUUUGGUAUUUGCUGGUGUGAUUGUCGGUGCAUGCUGAUGUGAUUCUUCUUGGUUUCUGUAUUACUAUGACUGGAUUAGCUUGCAUAUAUACCUAUAGUUGCUCUCUAAUUUUCUCAUGUUUAGGUUUUAAACUCGGGUCUGCGAAACAUAUAGCAGAAGCAAUAGUGAAUAAGUACGGUGUCGUAAGGUUGACUUCUGAAGUUAAAGGUAUAGCUUUGCUGAAAACAACGCAGAUAAGUCCUGUGCCAUGCUCAGGGGUGUGUUAUACUUGACAGAAACGGGGCUCACAGCAAAGGAAAGUGAGUGCUUAGCUUCAAGAACUCCUUUAGUUUUGGUACUUAAGAUUUAAUCUUUAUAAAAAUGUAUGCUGAAGACUUUCUUCUUGGAAGUAUUCAUGCCUUGUAGAAUAUUUCAGUCGGGUAUUCGUGCAUUGUAUAUAUAAUACUUCAGUGGGUAUGUACAGAUUUUAUUGUAAAAAUAGUUGAAUCUGAAGUGGCAUUUGUAAGAAAUGUCAAAGGUCAACAAAGAAGUUUGAGGUUUGUUUCGCCAGCGAACUUGUUCCAUCUCCUAGUUUGGCUAUUACCUAGUUUGGCUAUUACAUAGUUUUGUUUCUGAAUGUAACUUGCUUUUCUUAGAUGUCAUUGAUAAGAGAUGGGGAUUGAGAAACACAUAUAAUGGACAAGUUCUGCUUGGGCUCAGGUUUUAAACUUGGGUUUGCGAAACAUACAUCAGAAGCAAUAGUGAUCUCCAAGGAAGCAUUGGUACUUGGUUUUCGAAUCUCCAAUAAGAUCAGACCCCAACAAGAAUGCUUAUGAAGAUCCAUGUGUUUUCACUGGAACCACGAAUGAAGCUCCUAAAUUUCGGCAACUGUUGGAGAUGAUGAGCAUUCGGAUGGAUAUAUUCAGGUAAUAAUGUUGGUUUUAACACUUGUUUAAUGGCUUUUCUUGUAAGAUUUACAUUGGUCAGAACUCAAAAUUUUAAUCUUUUUUGUGUAGUUUGAAUCCAAUGAAUCAAUGAAUGAUUAUU